rnacentral:rRNA from 1 species
GUGGGGAAUAUUGGGCAAUGGGCGAAAGCCUGACCCAGCAACGCCGCGUGAGGGAAGAAGGUUUUCGGAUUGUAAACCUCUGUCCUUGGUGACGAAGGAAGUGACGGUAGCCAAGGAGGAAGCCCCGGCUAACUACGUGCCAGCAGCCGCGGUAAUACGUAGGGGGCGAGCGUUGUCCGGAAUGACUGGGCGUAAAGGGCGUGUAGGCGGCCGAUUAAGUCUGGAGUGAAAGUCCUGCUUUCAAGGUGGGAAUUGCUUUGGAGACUGGUUGGCUUGAGUGCGGAAGAGGUAAGUGGAAUUCCCAGUGUAGCGGUGAAAUGCGUAGAGAUUGGGAGGAACACCAGUGGCGAAGGCGACUUACUGGGCCGUAACUGACGCUGAGGCGCGAAAGCGUGGGGAGCGAACAGGAUUAGAAACCCUUGUAGUCC